rnacentral:rRNA from 1 species
UGGCUCAGAACGAACGCUGGCGGCGUGCCUAACACAUGCAAGUCGAACGCGAAAGCCCCGCAAGGGGUAAGUAGAGUGGCGUCCGGGUGAGUAACACGUGGAUAAUCUACCUAUGGAUGGGGAAUAACUUUCCGAAAGGGGAGCUAAUACCGCAUAAAAUUAUGUUGAGGAAUCUUGAUAUAAUCAAAGUGGAGGACCGCAAGGCUUCACGUCUGUAGAGGAGUCCGCGGCCGAUUAGCUAGUUGGCGGGGUAACGGCCCACCAAGGCGACGAUCGGUAGCCGGCCUGAGAGGGUGGUCGGCCACACUGGCACUGAAACACGGGACCGGACUCCUACGGGAGGCAGCAGUGG